rnacentral:rRNA from 1 species
UACGGGGGGGGCAAGCGUUGUUCGGAAUUACUGGGCGUAAAGGGCUCGUAGGUGGCCAACUAAGUCAGACGUGAAAUCCCUCGGCUUAACCGGGGAACUGCGUCUGAUACUGGAUGGCUUGAGUUCGGGAGAGGGAUGCGGAAUUCCAGGUGUAGCGGUGAAAUGCGUAGAUAUCUGGAGGAACACCGGUGGCGAAGGCGAGUCCAUGGACCGCAACUGACGCUGAGGCGCGAAAGCUAGGGGAGCAAACGGG